rnacentral:hammerhead_ribozyme from 1 species
AUCCAGCUGACGAGUCCCAAAUGGGAUGAAACGCGCGUUCUGGAU